UGGAGAGUUUGAUCCUGGCUCAGGACGAACGCUGGCGGCGUGCUUAACACAUGCAAGUCGAACGGAAAGGCCCCUUCGGGGGUACUCGAGUGGCGAACGGGUGAGUAACACGUGGGUGAUCUGCCCUGCACUUCGGGAUAAGCCUGGGAAACUGGGUCUAAUACCGGAUAGGACCACGGGAUGCAUGUCCUGUAGUGGAAAGCUUUUGCGGUGUGGGAUGGGCCCGCGGCCUAUCAGCUUGUUGGUGGGGUGACGGCCUACCAAGGCGACGACGGGUAGCCGGCCUGAGAGGGUGUCCGGCCACACUGGGACUGAGAUACGGCCCAGACUCCUACGGGAGGCAGCAGUGGGGAAUAUUGCACAAUGGGCGCAAGCCUGAUGCAGCGACGCCGCGUGGGGGAUGACGGCCUUCGGGUUGUAAACCUCUUUCACCAUCGACGAAGGUCCGGGUUUCUCGGAUUGACGGUAGGUGGAGAAGAAGCACCGGCCAACUACGUGCCAGCAGCCGCGGUA
rnacentral:rRNA from 1 species